rnacentral:rRNA from 1 species
GAUGAACGCUGGCGGCGUGCCUAAUACAUGCAAGUCGAGCGAAUGGAUUAAGAGCUUGCUCUUAUGAAGUUAGCGGCGGACGGGUGAGUAACACGUGGGUAACCUGCCCAUAAGACUGGGAUAACUCCGGGAAACCGGGGCUAAUACCGGAUAACAUUUUGAACCGCAUGGUUCGAAAUUGAAAGGCGGCUUCGGCUGUCACUUAUGGAUGGACCCGCGUCGCAUUAGCUAGUUGGUGAGGUAACGGCUCACCAAGGCAACGAAGCGUAGCCGACAUGAGAGGGGGAGCGGGCACACUGGGACGGAGACACGGCCCAGACUCCGACGGGAGGCAGCAGUAGGGAAUCUUCCGCAAUGGACGAAAGUCUGACGGAGCAACGCCGCGUGAGUGAUGAAGGCUUUCGGGUCGUAAAACUCUGUUGUUAGGGAAGAACAAGUGCUAGUUGAAUAAGCUGGCACCUUGACGGUACCUAACCAGAAAGCCACGGCUAACUACGUGCCAGCCGCCGCCGUAA